AUAAAAAACCAACGCCCUUCGGGGCUCCUUGGUGAAUCAUAAUAACUUAACGAAUCGCAUGGCCUUGCGCCGGCGAUGGUUCAUUCAAAUUUCUGCCCUAUCAACUUUCGAUGGCAGGAUAGUGGCCUACCAUGGUGGCAACGGGUAACGGGGAAUUAGGGUUCGAUUCCGGAGAGGGAGCCUGAGAAACGGCUACCACAUCCAAGGAAGGCAGCAGGCGCGCAAAUUACCCAAUCCCGAUACGGGGAGGUAGUGACAAUAAAUACUGAUACGGGGCUCUUUUGGGUCUCGUAAUUGGAAUGAGAACAAUUUAAAUCCCUUAACGAGGAACAAUUGGAGGGCAAGUCUGGUGCCAGCAGCCGCGGUAAUUCCAGCUCCAAUAGCGUAUAUUAAAGUUGUUGCAGUUAAAAAGCUCGUAGUUGAACCUUGGCUCUGGCUGGCCGGUCCGCCUCACCGCGAGUACUGGUCCGGCUGGAGCUUUCCUUCUGGGGAACCUCAUGGCCUUCACUGGCUGUGG
rnacentral:rRNA from 1 species